CCGCCAGGCUUGUAGCUCAGUCACCACCGCACCGCGCCCAAGCAGCUGCCGCCACCGCCGCCAUGAGUUGUCCGGUCCAGCAUUUCUUGUAAUGCACAUCUGGUGUGAUGGUUCUUCUGCCAGCCUGCCGCCAUGGGAUUGCUCUGUAUAAGAAGACAGGUGCAUUCUGGAAACUUGAAUCACUAAGGGGAGGAGCUUCAAUUUUGAUCCCAGAUAUAAGAAUGUUCCUUACAGAAGAAGGAAUAUUUCCCAACUCAUUUAAUGAGGCCAACAUUAUUCUGAUACCAAAACUAUACAAAAGCAUUACAAGGAAAGAGAACUACAGACCAUUAUUCCUGAUGUACAGGGAUCUGUGGAACUUUGAACUUGAGAGUGAUGAUUUAUGGUAUCUGGUGGAAGAAAUUUCUAAGCAGCAAAGUGUUCAAGAAGUGACAUGGCUGCUUCUAACAGCCUACGCUUAUAUGUGUGAGCAAAAAAUCAACCUAAGUUGGAACUUAUGUUUAAAGGGGAAGUAAAGCAAAAGUUUGGAGAAUUUGCAGCCUGGUAAUGUGGUAAGAAAAGAAAAGCCCAUUUUCAGGGGAAGAAUUCAAGCAGGGCUUAGAAAUUUGUGUAAGUAAAAAAGAGCCAAUUGCUAAUUGCCAAGACAAUGGGGAAAAGGUCUGGAAGGCAUUUCAGAGACCUUUGCAGCAGCCCCUCCUAUCACAGACCCAGAGGCCUAGGAGGGGAGGAUGGUUUUGUGGUCCAGGCCCAUGACCCUGGUUACCCUGCAUGGCCUCAGGACACUGGUCCCUGCAUCGUAGCCACUCCAGCUUCAGCCAUAGCUCAAAGGGCCCAGGUAUGGUUUGGGCUGCUGCUUCAGGAGGUACAAACUGUAAGACUUGGGAACUUCCACAUGAUGUUAAACUUGUGAGGGCAAAACGUGCAAGAGUUGAGGCUUGGACACCUCUGCCUAGAUUUCAGAGGAUGUAUGGAAAAGCCUGAAUGUCCAGGCAGAAGCCUGUUGCAAGAGUGGAGCCCUCACAGAGAACCUCUACUAGGAUAGUGUGGAGGGUAAACGUGGGGUUGGAGCACCCCCCAACAGAGUCCCCACUGGGACACUGCCUACUGGAGCUGUGAGAAGAGUGCCAUCGUCCUCCAGACCCCAGAAUGGAGGAUCCACUGACAGCUUGCACCAUGCACCUGGAAAAGCUGCAGGCAUUCAGUGCCAUCCCAUGAAAGCAGCUGCAGGGGCUACACCCUAAAGAUCCACAGGUGCAGAGCUGCCCAAGGCCUUGGGAGAUCAUCCCUUGCAUAAGUAUGCCCUAGAUAUGGGACAUGGAGUGAAAGGAAAUUAUUUUGGAGCUUUAAGAUUUAAUGACUGCCCUGCUGGGUUUUGGACUUGCAUGGGACUUGUAGCCCCUUUCUUUUGGUUGAUUUCUCCCUUUUGGAAUGGGAGUACCUACCCAAUGCCUAUACCCCCAUUGUAUGUUUAAAGUAACUAACUUGUUUUUGAUUUUGUAGGCUCAUAUGUGGAAGAGAGUAGCCUUGUGUCAGAUGAGACUUUGGACUUUUGAGUUAAUGCAGAAAAGAGUUAAGACUUAGAGGGACUGUUGAGGAGGGAUGAUUGUAUUUUGCAAUGUGAGAAGAACAUGAGAUUUAGGGGGCCAGGAGUGGAAUAAUAUGGUUUGGAUCUGUGUCCCCAUCAAAUCUCAUGUCAAAUUCUAGUCCCCACUGUUGGAGGUGGGACCUUGGAGGUGGAUUUCUCAUGAGUGGUUUAGCACCAUCCACUUGGUGUUGUUCUUGUGAUAGUGAAGGAGUUCCCAUGAGAUCUGGUUGUUUAAAAGUGUGCAGCACCUUCCCCCUUGCUCUGUAUUCUUUCUGCUCUGGCCAUGUUAUGUGUUUGUUUCCCCUUUGCCUUCUGACAUGAUUGGAAGCUUCCUGAGGUCUCCCAAGAAGCAGAAGCCACUAUGCUUCCUGUACAGCCUGCAGAACCAUGAGCCAAUUAAACCUUCUUUCUUUAUAAGUUA
ensembl:lncRNA novel transcript